UAUUGAUGAUGAUGACAAAAAAAAAUAAGAUGUCUCCAAACUUACUUGAAAGAAUUUGGAAUUCUAUAAAUAUUCAAAAAAAAGUUGUGAAAAACAAAUUUGAAAAUAGAAUAUUUGAUUUACUGAGAAUCUGAGAUA
rnacentral:misc_RNA from 1 species